GGUCGCAUGGUGUAGUUGGUUAUCACGUCAGUCUAACACACUGAAGGUCCUCAGUUCAAUCCUGAGUGCGAUCA